AUGUCCAAAUGUACAUUUAGAAAUGUACGCAUUGUGGAUCUCUCCAAAUGUCCAAAUGUACAUUUUGGUGCAGUAAUUUUAUGGAUGAAGUGGACAUUUCCAGAAUUGAGGACGUUCAUAGCUUCCUAUUGUUUACUCUUUCAGUUUGAAGAUUUGCAGUGUUUGUUACUGAGAUGCCCAUGGAUUAAUGAAAUCAAUUUGAGUAUUGAUACAAGCGUUAUACUAUCCAAGUACUCGAUUAUAUCUUCUAGAUCUGAAGUACGGCGUGACGUGAAUCGAAAUCUAUCUAGCUAUUACAUGCAAAGUGGAUUAUAUGGGACCUCAGGAAACCCAGUUUUCUCAAAUAUAUCAAAAUUGAUACUGGAAGGCCGAAAUGAUAUUACUGAUAUGAACUUGCUGGAGAUAUCCAUGCUGAAAAGCUCUCUAUGUUAUAUAAACAUUAAACAUUGCACCCUGUUGACAGACGAUGGUAUAUCUACACUACUGUUGAAUUGUAGAAAAAUGCACUCGAUGGUUCUUUCUUAUACAUCGUUUGGAAAUCAUUCAAUUCAAACCCUAUGCUCAUUGGAUCCUUCAGAUAGCUUUUCUUACCAUAAGGAUGAACAUGCUCAUGUUAUGGCAUUUAGGUUGCAAGAAUUGCAUCUGGAAGGCUGUGAAGGUAUUAGUUGUGCUGCUAUGUCCCAGCUAGUGAGUAAUAUGAAUAUUGUGAAGUCCUUAUGCUUAAGGGAGACAUCACUUGCAGAUGGUGCUCUCUGCAACUUUGUUGGCUCUUCACUUGAGUAUCUUGAUAUUUCGGAGACUGUGGUUUCUAUGGUCUCAUUGGCACCAGUUAUACGAAGAAACUCUAAUUUGAGCUGCUUGAAAACAGCUGGAUGCCGUAACCUGCUGUUUGAACAGGGUGAGGUACAAUCCACGAGUGGUAACAAGUAUGGCAGGUUUCUUCAGGAGAUAACCAGUACGUGCUAUUUGGAGGAUGUAGAAAUGGGCUGGGCAUUUUGCCCUGUUCGAGUUGAUGACCUCAUUCCUUCUUUUAGUAAAGUAAGGAGGAUGACAGUUGGCCUUGGCACAACAUUACCAGAGAAUAUCCUGCAUGCUCUUCCUGAGAUCUGCCCGUUUCUCGAGUCUUUGGUUCUUAGGUUUCAGGUAAUCUCUGACAGAGUUGUAAGAAAUCUAUUGGAAUCGUCAACAAAUCUUCAGGUGCUCUGCCUGCACUAUUGCCUUGGCAAUUUGACUUCAUUUAGCUUUCAAACAAUGGCACCAGCGUUAAGAAUAUUACGGCUCCAGUGGGUUACUCCAUGGAUCACAAAUGAUGAUCUGACAAUUCUUACACAGAAUUGCAAUUUAGUUGAACUUUUGCUGUCUGGUUGCAAACUCCUUGACUCCAGCUCUCAAGAGAUAAUCUCUUCUGGGUGGCCAAACUUGGCAUGUUUACAACUUGAGGAAUGUGGUCAGAUAACACUUGAUGGGGUUGAUUCUAUUUUAGAUUGUAAAGCUUUGGAAGAAGUCUUACUUAGGCACACCGGUAGAGGUAUUGGAAGAACCAUUAUAACAGAUGCUAUCAGAGAGCUACCGCUCCUAAGGAAGCUGGCGCUGGAUCUCUGCGACGCGUCCGAGGGAGGCUACGACACCCCGAACGUUCCGGAGGGGAAGAUGAUGAGGAGCGUGAGGAUGAGCAGGUGCAAGAAGUCGGUGGCGGCGGCGAGGUCGUGCUUUGGGGAGGCGUCCUCCUCGAGCUCGAACCGGAAGCCGGUGCAGCACAGGGAGACCAUCGUGCUGGAGUGGAGCAGCCGGCAGCUGACGACCACCGUAGUGGAAGAAAGACUCUAG
rnacentral:rRNA from 1 species